AUUGAACGCUGGCGGCAUGCCUAACACAUGCAAGUCGAACGGCAGCACAGCAGUAGCAAUACUGUGGGUGGCGAGUGGCGGACGGGUGAGGAAUACGUCGGAAUCUGCCCAGUCGUGGGGGAUAACUAGCCGAAAGGUUAGCUAAUACCGCAUACGACCGAGAGGUGAAAGCGGGGGACCGCAAGGCCUCGCGCGAUUGGAUGAGCCGACGUCGGAUUAGCUAGUUGGCGGGGUAAAGGCCCACCAAGGCGACGAUCCGUAGCUGGUCUGAGAGGAUGAUCAGCCACACUGGAACUGAGACACGGUCCAGACUCCUACGGGAGGCAGCAGUGGGGAAUAUUGGACAAUGGGCGCAAGCCUGAUCCAGCAAUGCCGCGUGUGUGAAGAAGGCCUCGGUUGUAAG
rnacentral:rRNA from 1 species